rnacentral:rRNA from 1 species
AUUGAACGCUGGCGGCAUGCCUUACACAUGCAAGUCGAACGGCAGCACGGGAGCAAUCCUGGUGGCGAGUGGCGAACGGGUGAGUAAUGUAUCGGAACGUACCUUUCAGUGGGGGAUAACGUAGCGAAAGUUACGCUAAUACCGCAUAUUCUGUGAGCAGGAAAGCAGGGGAUCGCAAGACCUUGCGCUGAUUGAGCGGCCGAUAUCAGAUUAGCUAGUUGGUGAGGUAAAGGCUCACCAAGGCGACGAUCUGUAGCGGGUCUGAGAGGAUGAUCCGCCACACUGGAACUGAGACACGGUCCAGACUCCUACGGGAGGCAGCAGUGGGGAAUUUUGGACAAUGGGCGCAAGCCUGGUCCAGCCAUGCCGCGUGAGUGAAGAAGGCCUCGGUUGUAAG